GCAGUACAUGUAGCAGUAGUAAGCUGCACUGAGCACACGACACACCGCCUCACCAAACACCCAAUCUGAAGCGUUCAGCUGGUAGUGGAUCUUCAGAGGCAGCAGCAGGGUGAAGAGCAGGUCCACACACGCCAGGUCUCUGUCAUAACAGAGAAGUUGCGUCCAGAUCCAGCUGUAACAAAACAAACAAAACGUUAAAGGCAAGAGCUCGAUCCGGGACUAAACCCAAUCAAUGUUACUAGGUCCCCAACCCGGGUUCGAUCCUGGAAUCAGUACCGGGACGUGUUUGCAUUCACAAAGAAGGCGAUCCGGCAAUUUUAUGGGACCAACAUGCAGAGUGAAAGGGGCAUGACAGUGUUGCAUUCACUCCUCCACCAAUGCCAUUUCUAAUCAUGUCGCAGUACUUCACAGAGGGAAUCUCUCCUCAACCACCACCCGUGUGCAGCAUCCACCUGGAUGAUGUGACAGCAGGCAGAGUACAAUGGCGCCAGUGUGCUCACCACACACCAGCUACAGGUGGAGAGGAGAGAGAGUGAUAGAGCUAAUUCAGUGACACAUUCAGUGGCCAUGAUUGACAAUGGCCAGUGGAGGGAUUUUGGA